CACUGUUUUUAAUCUUUUCGUUCUCUGUCCUGUGGUAGCUUCCAUCACUCUCUCACUCUCAGAGAUUGCACUGAGGAAGACACACAAUACGGCACUCACUCUCGUAGAUCUGAAACCCACAAACCCCAAAAACCCUUAGCUCCGAGGACGAUCUGUCUAGGUGGUGAUUUAACAAAAAUGGCUGUCGUGGAUGCUGAAAACCCUCGUCUUGGAGAAACGACUUGCGGUUCUUUACUGCAGAAACUACAGGAAAUUUGGAAUGAAGUUGGCGAGAGUGAUGAAGAACGAGACAAAAUGCUUCUUCAAUUAGAGCAAGAGUGUCUAGAUGUAUACAAGAGGAAGGUCGAGCUGGCAGCAAAGUCAAGGGCACAGCUCCUUCAGGCAUUGUCUGAUGCCAAACUUGAACUUUCCAGUCUUGUAUCAGCUCUGGGAGAAAAAAGUUUUGUCGGAGUUCCCGAGAAGACUUCAGGAACAAUCAAGGAACAGCUUGCAGCUAUAGCGCCAGUACUGGAGCAGCUGUGGAAACAGAAAGAGGACAGGGUGAAGGAGUUUUCUGAUGUACAGUCACAGAUACAAAAGAUUUGUGGAGAAAUUGCUGGGAACUUGAAUCUCAGUGAGAGUCCUGCUGUUGAUGAGUCUGAUCUAUCCCUGAAGAAAUUAGAUGAAUAUCAAUCCCAACUUCAUGAUCUUCAAAAGGAAAAGAGUGAAAGAUUGCACAAGGUGCUUGAAUUUGUGAGCACAGUGCAUGACCUUUGUGCUGUGCUUGGGCUGGACUUCUUGAGUACUGUUACAGAGGUCCAUCCUAGCUUAAAUGACUCAACUGGUGUGCAAUCCAAAAGCAUUAGCAAUGAUACUUUAUCUAGGCUGGCUAAGACUGUCUUAGCACUAAAAGAAGAUAAGAAGCAGAGGCUGCAUAAGCUCCAAGAGUCAGCAACACAGCUACUUGAUCUGUGGAAUCUGAUGGAUACCCCUGAUGAGGAAAGGGGAUUCUUUGACCAUGUUACCUGUAACAUAUCAGCUUCAGUGGAUGAAGUGACUGUUCCUGGGGCUCUUGCCUGGGAUCUGAUUGAGCAGGUAUAUAAGCAUAUGAUGUUCAGUGGUUUGUUAAAACAAUUUAUGAUGGCUGUUUACUCAUUUCUCGAUUUUGUUUUGAAGACUGAGGUCGAAGUUGAGCGGCUUGAUCAGCUGAAAUCAAGCAGGAUGAAGGAAAUUGCAUUCAAGAAGCAGUCAGAGCUUGAGGAGAUUUUCACUCGAGCUCACAUAGAAAUAGAUCCAGAAGCUGCAAGAGAUAAGAUUAUGGAACUGAUUGAUUCUGGGAAUGUUGAACCUACUGAAUUACUGGCUGACAUGGAUGAUCAGAUAGCGAAAGCGAGGGAUGAAGCUCUAAGCAGAAAGGAUAUAUUGGACAAAGUUGAGAAAUGGAUGUCAGCCUGCGAAGAAGAGAGUUGGCUUGAGGACUACAAUCGCGAUGAAAACAGGUAUAAUGCAAGUAGAGGUGCACACCUAAACCUCAAGCGUGCAGAGAAAGCACGUAUUCUGGUUAACAAAAUCCAGCUCUUGUGGACACAUUGGUAGCCAAAACUCGUGGAUGGGAGGAAGAUCGUGGCAUAUCAUUUACUUAUGAUGGUGUUCCUCUCCUUGCUAUGCUAGAUGAAUAUGCCAUGCUUAGGCAAGACAGAGAAGAAGAGAAGCGGAGGAUGAGGGAUCAGAAGAAGUAUCAAGAGCUACAACAUACAGAACAAGAAACCAUAUUUGGCUCAAAGCCUAGCCCUGCUCGACCAGUUGGCACAAAGAAGAUAGUAGGUCCUCGUGCAAAUGGAGGUCCAAAUGGAACUCCUGGCAGACGGCUAUCACUCAAUGCUCAUCAAAAUGGAAGCAGGUCUGUAACGAAAGAUGCGAAGAAGGAUCUUAGGCCCGUUGCUCCUAUGAACUAUGUUGAGAUAGCAAAAGAGGAUGCUGCGUCCCACAUUUCUGGCACUGAUACACUUCCGGUGUCACCAUAAUAGUAAGGGAGAUAAUUGUAGGUUACAUCUCUGUCAAAUUUUAGUGUUUUAACUAGUUACUGUUGUAGGGAUAUAAUGUAUGAAACAGUGAGGGUAAAUUGGAGAGUGAACUGUGUGUACCUGUGCAUGUUAUGUUUUAGCAUUCGGAGGCUUUCUAAAUACACGUUGCGUUCUCUGUUCUUCAUGUUUUGGCUGGUAGCUAUUCUGUGUUCGAAAUAAAAUCCCGCCUCUGCAUUCGUGCCAGUA